GGGGAGGAUUUUAGUUUUGCAAGAUGAGGAAGCUGCUGGGACUGUUUGUACAACCGUGUGACUGCGCUCCAUGCCAACGCACUGCUUGCUUCCGAAUGGCCAAGACGGCCAAUUCUGGGCUGUGUGUGCUUUACCCCAACGUGUAAAUGGAACCAGGUCUCCAGUUUCCACAGCGAAUCUGUCCUGAUGGGCACAGCCAUGGUGAUGUCCCCGCCGAUGGCCCUGAAUGGGCCACUUUUGCCCACGCGCAAGAUAUCUUCAGGGAGAAUGGCAAGGAGCAGCCCCGGGGUCAGACAGACUCCUCCCUCCCCAAGCUCCACUCCCCUGUGCGCAAAUGCCAACCGGAUGGACGUCCGUGUGCAGGUGUUUCACUGGCGGCGCCCGAGAGCGGCCCUGUGUUGUCACCUCCCUCUCUGGAUCUGGGCCAGAGCAGACACUGGCUUGGCCAAUGGAGAGCGUGGGAGUGGAGUGCGCAGCCCAAGCAAGCACAUCGGGCAUGUGGCUUCCCCCUUGGAGAGACCAUGAGGACAGGCCCGGGCUCCAGGAGACAGGGAGUGGCCCGGCCGUCCCCGCAGAGCCAUCUGAUACAUCAUUCCAGCCACCUGGACGCUCCGGCCCCAGCGGUCCACAGACCACACGGCAGGACCCCCACUCCCAGACCAGCUGGAGAACCGACGAGCUCAGCCCCAUCAUCCCACAGGACCUACACUACCUGACGCUCCUAAGUUUGGGGGUUUUCUUCUGCAGUGAUGGGUAACUGAAGGGAGAUCCUGACCAGCUCCUGGUUCUCCUGCCCGAGCCUGUUCCAACCCCAUCCUCCCCACCUCAGCAGGGAAAAGCACGCUUCUCCCCAUGAUCACACCUCCAGCCCGCGUGCCUCCAUCUCUGCAGCGUCAGCUCCCCUGGCGCCCCGCAGAGCCUCCUGCCUGGCCUUGUGCCCCUCUUCCUCUUUGUUGUCCCCCAGCCAUCUCCACCCACAACGACUGGUUUUCUUCAAGAUAAAAUCAGAUCUGGUCAUUUCUUUUUUAGGAUGUAAUUUAUUUAUUCAUGAGAGACACAGAGAGAGUCAGAGACACAGGCAGAGGGAGAAGCAGGCUCCCUGCGGGGAGCUCAUUGUGGGACUCGAUCCCAGAACCCCGGGAUCAUGCCCUGAGCCGAAGGCAGACGCUCAACCACUGAGCUACCCGGGGCCCCAAAGUGAAUGUUUUAACCGCGUUGUUGGCAGGCCGCCCAGGAGGCAUUGCAUGCUAGAGCUCCAUUUAUUUAAAGUGUUCCAGUGUCUCCUGAUUUUGGAAACGUGGCCGCCUAUAAUCAGAAAACGUGGCAUUGGACGGAGGACACACGGCACUCUGCAAUCGCCGUUAUCACCAAGGGCGCGGGCCACCUGUGGCUGGAAGGCUUAUCUAACCCUCUCUUCCUGCGUGUGGCCACGACACGGCCAAGGGCCCAUUGCAACCCACGGCUCCAGCACGCUGCUGUGCUGAGGCCAUGCCCUGAGCACUCGGAGGGCACCGCCUGACAGUGCCGGCCAGUGAAGUGCGCAUCACGGUGCAGCCUCCCCAGGGCCCCUCCACCCUCCGCUCUGCCUCCUGGAUUCAGAGCCUCCUACUGAGAACUCCCAGGUCCUCGAAGACGGCAGAGCCACCCAAUACAGCAGGGUCACAGAUCCGCAACCGUGUGGGCACAGCACCUCUGCCCGCCCUCCACCAGCCCUCAGCAGACAGGGACGCGCACACGACGUUCCCUUUCACUGAGGAACCCCAUGGAGCCCCGGGGAUGUGGGGGAAAGCCAGCCUCACUGAUGGGUGAGUGUGGUGUCCACCUUGCCCCCAAGACAGCCUCAAGAGGUCUGCGCACCCAAGAACAGAAGCCGCCAAAUGCUCAGAGACCUGGUGGGCUCUGUGCCACACGUAUGGGUCCCGACGGGCACAUCAGAUCAUUUACGAGUUCCAACUAUCUGGCCCAGUUCCCAUAGUGGAUUCACUGAUCAAGAGACCCAGGGCACCUGGUGGCUCAGUGGUUGAGCGUCUGCCUUCGGCUCAGGGCGUGACCCCGGGGUCCUGUGAUCGAGUCCCACAUCAGGCUCCCUGCAUGGAGCCUCCUUGUCCCUCUGCCUGUGUCUCUGCCUCUCUCUCUGUGUCUCUCAUAAAUAAAUAAAUAAAUAAAAUCUUUUAAAAAAAGAGA
rnacentral:lncRNA from 12 species